rnacentral:rRNA from 1 species
UACGAGGGGGGCGAGCGUUGUUCGGAAUUAUUGGGCGUAAAGGGUGCGUAGGCGGUUCGGUAAGUUUUACGUGAAAUCUUCGGGCUUAACUCGAAGCCUGCAUAAAAUACUGCCGGGCUUGAGUAUGGGAGAGGUGAGUGGAAUUUCCGGUGUAGCGGUGAAAUGCGUAGAUAUCGGAAGGAACACCUGUGGCGAAAGCGGCUCACUGGACCAUAACUGACGCUGAGGCACGAAAGCUAGGGGAGCAAACAGG